GUGUACAUCCCCACCAAUUUGGCAUCUGGUGGCGAGAAAUUAACCGUGAAGGAACUCGGAAGCGACCAAGACCAGUGAAGAAUUGCUUGCUUGGGUCAAGGAGGCAUUGAAUGCACGGGCCACCGAACGAACGGGGAGCUCCCACGAACCAACAACAGUGCGAGCAUGCAUGUUGUUCAUCCGUGACGACCAUACGUCCACACCGCCACGUCGUGCCGCUGAAGCAUUGCAGGAUAUAUAUGUGUGCAGUGCAGUGAUGCCAGCUGCACACAGCGCAACGCCAAUCGACACCUACAGUAGUAUGUCAUUUUCCAUCUUGUUGGUUUUAAUUUGUACCGCUUCUGUUGUUUUUGUCUCUAUGGAGUAUGGAUACAACACCUAAUAGCUGUCUCUACUGUGUUUUCCUGACACCCGUAUAAUAACCAUUCCCCCAUCUGUCUGAAGUGCGAACUUGCUCAUCUCAUCUGCUGAAUAUACACAAAAUCUCCAACACCGAUAUCGAUAUUAAAGUUGCACAUACCGAUCGAUUUGAUCUAAAAUUUAAAGUUGGUAGAGAAAGGAGGGCAAGAGAGACCCUUCUUCGUAUAUGCAGGGACGGCCGGUGCAAAACAAGACGCUGCAAUAAGUGUAAUGAUUCGUUUGCCCAUGCACUGGACUGGAUACCAUUAGUAUCAAUUAAACUGAAAGAGGCAGCCUAACUUUCAUUUGCUUCACCAGUACUUGCAGCAAUAAUUAGCAGCACUCGUUAACAGUUGACGCUUAUUGCUUCGGUUUCUAAGGUUAUUGAAUGUGUGUGCCUAUAUAUAUGUGUGUGUGUUUCAUAUCUUCUGAUUUUGUAGGAAAGAAAACAUUAUUGAUGAGCAUUUAGGAUGAAAGAGAUAUGCCAUCUAUAUUCCACAUUGGACCAGCCGGCCAUCCCUUACUACUGAACAGGAACUAAUAAUGAUUGCGUUUGGCUUUAAUCUGCAUCGGUUUCUACUAUUUCUAUAGUGUUUUGUCUUUAUAGAUUGAAUUGGCUUUAAUCCGGAGCGAACAGCCUACAAACAAGACGUCCAUAUGGAUUACUACUGGUCUAUUACUAAUUACUAUAUGCACUGAUGCUGAGAUCUUUUCAGGUUGAUGGUGGUAAUGAUUAAUAAGAAGGACAGUUGUGAUCAUGCAUGCGUCUUGCCCUUGCACCAACCACACAUGGUGAUCCAGACAGUAUCCACAUCACUGCUAGCUUAGGCUAGCUCAGCAUGGAGUAAACUACGAUAGCCAAGAAAGAAACUCUAGGUGGAUCUGAUGCUUGUCUC